rnacentral:lncRNA from 1 species
CUAAACUAUAUUUUAAUGCAUUUCUGAAUCAAUGCCAUAUCAGUCACCACAUCAAAACUGUUGAGAUUAAAUGAGGUCAGCUCUGGUUGCACUGUGUAAAAACAUAAUGUGUUUGCAGACAGAUGCAGAGAGUGGUUUCAUACACAUAUACUAUGGUCAGUGGUGUUAUACUUAAGGUGCACUGUCCAAUUGCAUUGUUAUGUAUAAAUAACAUAUUUUUACAUUGUUGGAUGGAUAAUUGUUUGUUAAACAAAAUAAAAUGUAUUUUGACUUAUUCUUUUACUUAUUGUAGACAAUGUCAGCUAAUUGUUCACAUGCUCUUUAUAUGUUUAAUGAAAUUAAUGAAUCUAUUUUUUAGGGGGGGAUUGUAAGUCUUGUAUUUGUGUUUCCAUGUAUGAAAUGUACAUUUUUUAUAAAAAGUUAACAUGUAUAAUGAUAAUAAUCGGUGGCUGAAUUGAUCCGUCAUAAUGUUAUUAGAGCUGGGUUUUGUUAAGAUGCACUUUUGUAUUGGAUGUUGUAAGUAAUUGAAAUUGUCACUAUGCUGAAUUUCUUCCACAGAAGAAUGAGAGAUGUGACUCGAAGAUUUAUUAGGCAUACGUAUGUAUUAUAUAUCCUGUUCAACACUCAGUGUCCUAUAGAGCCACACACGCACCACAAACCACUAUUAAGGACUGUGGAUUAUGAUUAAUCAACCCAUUGUUGAAUGUGUAAGUAUAUUUCACACUCUUAAAUGUUUGUUAUAGAGUAUGAUCUACUCAUUCACCGAAGGGACUUCUAUGUUUCACUAAAAUCCAAGCACAUUAAAGAUUUUAUGACUUUGUUUAUCCUUUUUACAGUCCAGAACAGCCGCGGUAUCCAAACGGUUGUGCAGAUGUGGGAGGAGCAUUUAACCUCAUUGAAACAUAACAAACUGCCAAGGAACAAAGAACCUGUGCUGUAUCCUGCAGUCAUGAUUGGAUCUCUGGAUCAGAGUUGGAGGUGACAGUCAGAGCAGGAGACAACAUCACUCUCUACUGUGACUGCAAGUUAUCAAGUGGAGUUUACGUAGUGUGGUACAGGAACUGCUCUCAUGACAACCAGCCUAUUCUUGUCCUUAAAAGAACUUCAUGGCCAAAAACCACUACGAUUGAAAACUUCCUGAAUCCCCUCCCUCGUUUCCACUUUGUGAGAAACUAUUCCUCUGACUCCUACGACCUGCUGAUCAGUAACAUCACUGACUCUGAUGAUGGCCUCUACUACUGUGGAACUGAAGAGAAUAAGCUGGAGGAUGAACAAUACAUUACUAGCAGAUCUGUUUACCGAUAUGGCAAC